AUGCUUGUAACUCGCUACAUCUUACCAAAUCAGAAGAAAGCUAAAAACAUAAAACUGAAGGUGGUGAGAGGAUGCAGAGAGGGAAUGAUACGAGUGGAGAAGGUGAUGAAGAGAGAGGUUGAGAGUUGCAGAACACUCAGAGGGAAUUUGAGAGUGGUGGAGAAUGAAGUUUUGAAAAUUGGUGAAGAAUGGUGGGUAAGGUUGAAUAUGAGAUGA